CAGUAGCCGCGGGAAUACGUAGGGUGCGAGCGUUAAUCGGAAUUACUGGGCGUAAAGCGUGCGCAGGCGGUUCGUUAAGACAGAUGUGAAAUCCCCGGGCUCAACCUGGGAACUGCAUUUGUGACUGGCGAGCUAGAGUAUGGCAGAGGGGGGUAGAAUUCCACGUGUAGCAGUGAAAUGCGUAGAGAUGUGGAGGAAUACCGAUGGCGAAGGCAGCCCCCUGGGCCAAUACUGACGCUCAUGCACGAAAGCGUGGGGAGCAAAUGGGAUUAGAUACCCCAGUAGUCCCUGUCUCUUAUAC
rnacentral:rRNA from 1 species